rnacentral:rRNA from 1 species
UACGUAGGGUGCAAGCGUUGUCCGGAAUUAUUGGGCGUAAAGAGCUCGUAGGCGGUCUGUCGCGUCUGCUGUGAAAACUCGGGGCUUAACCCCGGGCCUGCAGUGGGUACGGGCAGACUAGAGUGCGGUAGGGGAGACUGGAAUUCCUGGUGUAGCGGUGGAAUGCGCAGAUAUCAGGAGGAACACCGAUGGCGAAGGCAGGUCUCUGGGCCACUACUGACGCUGAGAAGCGAAAGCAUGGGGAGCGAACAGG